ACACAUGCNAAGUCGAACGAUGAUGCCCAGCUUGCUGGGCGGAUUAGUGGCGAACGGGUGAGUAAUACGUGAGUAACCUGCCCUUGACUCUGGGAUAAGCCUGGGAAACUGGGUCUAAUACUGGAUACUACCUCUUACCGCAUGGUGGGUGGUGGAAAGGGUUUUACUGGUUUUGGAUGGGCUCACGGCCUAUCAGCUUGUUGGUGGGGUAAUGGCUCACCAAGGCGACGACGGGUAGCCGGCCUGAGAGGGUGACCGGCCACACUGGGACUGAGACACGGCCCAGACUCCUACGGGAGGCAGCAGUGGGGAAUAUUGCACAAUGGGCGGAAGCCUGAUGCAGCGACGCCGCGUGAGGGAUGACGGCCUUCGGGUUGUAAACCUCUUUCAGUAGGGAAGAAGCGAGAGUGACGGUACCUGCAGAAGAAGCGCCGGCUAACUACGUGCCAGCAGCCGCGGUAAUACGUAGGGCGCAAGCGUUGUCCGGAAUUAUUGGGCGUAAAGAGCUCGUAGGCGGUUUGUCGCGUCUGCUGUGAAAGCCCGGGGCUCAACCCCGGGUCUGCAGUGGGUACGGGCAGACUAGAGUGCAGUAGGGGAGACUGGAAUUCCUGGUGUAGCGGUGAAAUGCGCAGAUAUCAGGAGGAACACCGAUGGCGAAGGCAGGUCUCUGGGCUGUUACUGACGCUGAGGAGCGAAAGCAUGGGGAGCGAACAGGAUUAGAUACCCUGGUAGUCCAUGCCGUAAACGUUGGGCACUAGGUGUGGGGG
rnacentral:rRNA from 1 species